rnacentral:rRNA from 1 species
AAUCAACGCUGGCGGCGUGCCUCAGACAUGCAAGUCGAACGAUUAAAGCUCUCUUCGGAGAGUGUAUAAAGUGGCGCACGGGUGAGUAACACGUAAGUAAUCUACCUUCGAGUGGGGAAUAACGUCCGGAAACGGACGCUAAUACCGCAUAAUGCAGCGGCAUCGCAAGAUGACAGUUGUUAAAGAUUUAUCGCUUGAAGAGGAGCUUGCGGCAGAUUAGCUAGUUGGUAAGGUAAUGGCUUACCAAGGCUACGAUCUGUAACCGGUCUAAGAGGACGGUCGGUCACACUGACACUGAAUAACGGGUCAGACUCCUACGGGAGGCAGCAGUCGGGAAUUUUGGGCAAUGGGCGAAAGCCUGACCCAGCAACGCCGCGUGAAGGAUGAAGUAUUUCGGUAUGUAAACUUCGAAAGAAUAGGAAGAAUAAAUGACGGUACUAUUUAUAAGGUCCGGCUAA